GGUUCGAUUAUGGCUCAGAUUGAACGCUGGCGGGAUGCUUUACACAUGCAAGUCGAACGGCAGCACGGACUUCGGUCUGGUGGCGAGUGGCGAACGGGUGAGUAAUGUAUCGGAACGUGCCUAGUAAGUGGGGAUAACUACGCGAAAGCGUAGCUAAUACCGCAUACGCCCUCGGGGGAAAGCGGGGGACCUUCGCCUCGCACUAUUAGGAGCGGCCGAUAUCGGAUUAGCUAGUUGGUGGGGUAACGGCUCACCAAGGCGACGAUCCGUAGCUGGUUUGAGAGGACGACCAGCCACACUGGGACUGAGACACGGCCCAGACCUACGGGAGGCAGCAGUGGGGAAUUUUGGACAAUGGGGAAACCCUGAUCCAGCCAUCCCGCGUGUGCGAUGAAGGCCUUCGGGUUGUAAAGCACUUUUGGCAGGAAAGAAACGGCACGGAUAAUACCCCGUGCAACUGACGGUACCUGCAGAAUACACCGGCUAACUACUAGCCAGCAGCCGCAACAUGUAGGGUGCAAGCGUUAAUCGGAAUUACUGGGCGUAAAGCGUGCGCAGGCGGUUCGGAAAGAAAGAUGUGAAAUCCCAGAGCUUAACUUUGGAACUGCAUUUUUAACUACCGAGCUAGAGUGUGUCAGAGGGAGGUGGAAUUCCGCGUGUAGCAGUGAAAUGCGUAGAUAUGUGAGGAACACCGAUGGCGAAGGCAGCCUCCUGGGAUAACACUGACGCUCAUGCACGAAAGCGUGGGGAGCAAACAGGAUUGAUACUCCCGGUAGUCCACGCCCUAAACGAUGUCAACUAGCUGUUGAAGCCUUCGGGCCUUGGUAGCGCAGCUAACGCGUGAAGUUGACCGCCUGGGGAGUACGGUCGCAAGAUUAAAACUCAAAGGAAUUGACGGGGACCCGCACAAGCGGUGGAUGAUGUGGAUUAAUUCGAUGCAACGAAAACCUUACCUACCCUUGACAUGUUCAAUCCUGAAGAGAUUUGGGAGUGCUCGCAAGAGAACCGGAACACAGGUGCUGUACGGCUGCCGUCAGCUCGUGUCGUGAGAUGUUGGGUUAAGUCCUGCAACGAGCGCAACCCUUGUCAUUAGUUGCUACGAAAGGGCACUCUAAUGAGACUGCCGGUGACAAACCGGAGGAAGGUGGGGAUGACGUGGUCAGGUCCUCAUGGCCCUUAUGGGUAGGGCUUCACACGUCAUACAAUGGUCGGGACAGAGGUCGCCAACCCGCGAGGGGAGCCAAUCCCAGAAACCCGAUCGUAGUCCGGAUCGCAGUCUGCAACUCGACUGCGUGAAGUCGGAAUCGCUAGUAAUCGCGGAUCAGCAUGUCGCGGUGAAUAUUGCCCCGGGUCUUGUACACACCGCCCGUCACACCACACAUGGGAGUGGGUUUUACCAGAAGUAGUUAGCCUAACCGUAAGGAGGGCGAUUACCACGGUAGGAUUCAUGACUGGGGUGAAGUCGUAACAAGGUAA
rnacentral:rRNA from 1 species